rnacentral:rRNA from 1 species
AUUGAACGCUGGCGGCAGGCCUAACACAUGCAAGUCGAACGGUAACAGGAAGCAGCUUGCUGCUUUGCUGACGAGUGGCGGACGGGUGAGUUAUGUCUGGGAAACUGCCUGAUGGAGGGGGAUAACUACUGGAAACGGUAGCUAAUACCGCAUAACGUCGCAAGACCAAAGAGGUGGACCUUCGGGCCUCUUGCCAUAGGAUGUGCCCAGAUGGGAUUAGCUAGUAGGUGGGGUAACGGCUCACCUAGGCGACGAUCCCUAGCUGGUCUGAGAGGAUGAUCAGCCACACUGGAACUGAGACACGGUCCAGACUCCUACGGGAGGCAGCAGUGGGGAAUAUUGCACAAUGGGCGCAAGCCUGAUGCAGCCAUGCCGCGUGUAUGAAGAAGGCCUUCGGGUUGUAAAGUACUUUCAGCGGGGAGGAAGGGAGUAAAGUUAAUACCUUGGCUCAUUGACGUUACCAGCAGAAGAAGCACCGGCUAACUCCGUG